rnacentral:lncRNA from 1 species
GAAUUUGGCGCCCUGCACUUUCAAUGGAUAUUGGUCAGGAGGGACGGUAGCGUCCCAUCUAGCCUAGAGUUAACACUCUGUCUGUCCAUCGGCAGUGAGCUGUCCCACAGUGCCAUAACGGUCCACAUGUUUAGCACACUCCUGCUGAGGCCUGGAGACUGGUGAUAGAUUAGCUCAGGCGGCUUUAUUCCAUGCUUAGUCCUCAGGUUGAACCAGGAUGACAUGAAUCAGGGGGCUGAAUUACAUUCUCAGUCCUCAGUUUGAACCAGGAUGACAUGAAUCAAGGGGCUGAAUUACAUUCUCAGUCCUCAGUUUGAACCAGGAUGACAUGAAUCAAGGGGCUGAAUUCCAUUCUCAGUCCUCAGGAUGAACCAGGAUGAUAUGAAUCAGGGGGCUGAAUUCCAUUCUCAGUCCUCAGGUUGAACCAGGAUGAUAUGAAUCAGGGGGCUGAUUUCAAGGCUGUUUAUCCCAAGGUGCUCUUUAGAACUGGAGUUGGAGAGCUCCGUAGUUAAGUUACACCCCGACAGCUUUACUCAACAACGUGGCAGUCUGUUGCUUGUGAGAGCUAAGACAUUAGGAUGAUAUAUUGUACAGACAACAAUCAAUGUGCUGUAAUUCCAUCUUAAUCAUCGUCAUCAACAAUAUAAACACUCGGAAAUGAGGACCGCUGACAAUCACAAUGACAUUGAUUACCUGUUUGUUGUGAGUGAGUGAUUGAGAGAGUGUGUGUGUGUGUG